GGCCUCCCUGACAUUAUUUAUAAAAAGGGAAAUGUUUGUGUUUGUUUAUUGUUUGUUUUGGUGAGAAGAACGUCUGAGCAAGUUUGAAGUGCUAUUUACAGAAAACUGAAUUCAGCUGGUGCUGCUCAGCACUGCCUUGCAGUCUGCAGGGCAUUACACCAGGAUGCUGGACAGCAAAUGACGGAAGGGCUUGGAAGGGAGGAGAAAAUAGAUGAUCUUGUCCGCAUAAUAAUACAGGGAAGAUGUAUAAAGGAAAGUAAGUGGUAAUGCUCUUGAAAGAUAAACAAUUGACUGCCUGUCACAAGUAAUAGAUGACUGAGAUCCUGAAGAAUGUGGCCAUGAUAAAAAAUACAUAUAGAAGAGUACACAUUCCACAUUCUCCUGACAUCUCGUUGCUUUCUUCUUUGCGGGAAUCUUUGCAAGAUCAAAUUAGAAGUAUUAUUUGCUGAAAGGCAAUAUUCU
rnacentral:lncRNA from 1 species